GGCCGGUUAGCUCAGUUCGUUAGAGCGUGGUGCUAAUAAUGCCAAGGUCACGGGUUCAACCCCCUACGGGCCA
rnacentral:tRNA from 1 species